rnacentral:rRNA from 1 species
CAGUCGCCGCGGUAAUACGAAGGGUGCAAGCGUUAAUCGGAAUUACUGGGCGUAAAGCGUGCGUAGGCGGUGAGUUAAGUCUGCUGUGAAAUCCCCGGGCUCAACCUGGGGACCGCGCUUGAUACGGUCGAGCUAGAGGAUGGAAGAGGGUCGUGGAAUUCCCAGUGUAGAGGUGAAAUUCGUAGAUAUUGGGAAGAACACCGGUGGCGAAGGCGGCCAUCUGGGACAACACUGACGCUGAGGCACGAAAGCGUGGGGAGCAAACAGGAUUAGAUACCCGCGUAGUCCCUGUCUCUUAUAA